rnacentral:lncRNA from 1 species
ACACAGCAGAAGUAGCAUCGUCCGAUUGGCUGUUCUCCGUAGAAAUAAGGAUACUUCGCCGACGAUCCGAAUGAAAUCCCCGACGCAAAAUUGGAGGAGGAGGAAGAAGAAGAAGAAUUAGGGGUGGUCGAAUUGGAGUGGAAUUUGUUGAUACACCUGAAUGGAUGCGUGAAGAUUUUCCCCACCUUUCGCAAUCUGAUCUUUCCCUUCUCCGCUUUUUUUAUUGAGAUCCGUGGAUCGGCUUCUUUGGACGUGUGUUUUACUCGAUCUUCUUGAACCUCCAGCGGCGCUACCGAAUCAUCGGAGGAAACUACGAUUUCGGACAUGGACCGAUCCACAAUCGGAGGUUAGAGGCAUGAAUUAACGAGUGAUAUCGAUGGAAAAAGGGUUUAGGGUUUGUAUGUCAAGCUGUUUUAAUCUUCCGGCAAAAAAAACGAUCAAAUCGUAAAAGAACGAAAGAUGGAAAGAAUGUGGUCCACUAUCCAGACACUCUGGUGGUGUUUUGGUGGAUUUGUAAAUCAG